GGGUGCAUAGCGCAGUGGUAGCGCGCAUGCUUUGCAAGCCUCUAUGUAACGAACUUACAUAGUAUGUGUAUGAGGUCCAGGGUUCAAUCCCCUGUGCAUCCA
rfam:Paxillus rubicundulus Ve08.2h10 scaffold_494_c1, whole genome shotgun sequence.